CAGGAAUCCUUCUACGGUAGUGCUCUUCAUGUAGCUGUUAAUCGAGGCUCCGCUAAGUGUUUACAGUAUUUGCUCGAUGCUGGUGCGGAUCCGAACGUGACUGAUCAGGGGGGAAAGACACCACUUCACUUUGCCAGUGAGCGGGGUCAUAUCGACUGUAUGCGGCAUCUACUGGACAGCAAAGCUGAUCCAAACCAACCUGACGAGGAUAAACGGACACCACUUCACUUUGCCACUAUUCAGAACAAGGUCGACUGCAUUCUGCAUCUACUGCGAGCUGGAGCUAACCCAGAUCAAGGAGAUAAGGCAGGUUAUGGAACAGACAUUUCAAUAUACUCUGCUAAUGCA